rnacentral:rRNA from 1 species
AGAGUUUGAUCCUGGCUCAGAGCGAUCGCUGGCGGCAGGCUUAACACAUGCAAGUCGAACGGGCACUUCGGUGUCAGUGGCAGACGGGUGAGUAACACGUGGGAACGUACCUUUUGGUUCGGAACAACUGAGGGAAACUUCAGCUAAUACCGGAUAAGCCCUUACGGGGAAAGAUUUAUCGCCGAAAGAUCGGCCCGCGUCUGAUUAGCUAGUUGGUAGGGUAAUGGCCUACCAAGGCGACGAUCUGUAGCUGGUCUGAGAGGAUGAUCAGCCACAUUGGGACUGAGACACGGCCCAAACUCCUACGGGAGGCAGCAGUGGGGAAUAUUGGACAAUGGGGGCAACCCUGAUCCAGCCAUGCCGCGUGAGUGAUGAAGGCCCUAGGGUUGUAAAGCUCUUUUGUGCGGGAAGAUAAUGACGGUACCGCAAGAAUAAGCCCCGGCUAACUUCGUGCCAGCAGCCGCGGUAAUACGAAGGGGGCUAGCGUUGCUCGGAAUCACUGGGCGUAAAGGGUGCGUAGGCGGGUUUUUAAGUCAGAGGUGAAAUCCUGGAGCUCAACUCCAGAACUGCCUUUGAUACUGGAAAUCUUGAGUAUGGGAGAGGUGAGUGGAACUGCGAGUGUAGAGGUGAAAUUCGUAGAUAUUCGCAAGAACACCAGUGGCGAAGGCGGCUCACUGGCCCAUAACUGACGCUGAGGCACGAAAGCGUGGGGAGCAAACAGGAUUAGAUACCCUGGUAGUCCAA